UACGGAGGGUGCAAGCGUUAAUCGGAAUUACUGGGCGUAAAGCGUGCGUAGGCGGUUCGUUAAGUCUGUUGUGAAAGCCCCGGGCUCAACCUGGGAAUGGCAAUGGAUACUGGCGAGCUAGAGUGUGUCAGAGGAUGGUGGAAUUCCCGGUGUAGCGGUGAAAUGCGUAGAGAUCGGGAGGAACAUCAGUGGCGAAGGCAGCCAUCUGGGACAACACUGACGCUGAGGCACGAAAGCGU
rnacentral:rRNA from 1 species